AUUAAUCUCGAUCUCCUUGGGUUCCCAAUUUCUUUUGGAAAUAAGAUAAAUUGGGUCUAUCUAAGAAUUAGGUUUUGGUUAAUUAGAAUCUUAUCAUCAAUCAGGUACGCUCCUUGAAUUUUCAUAUUCAAUUUGGUUGCAAUUGAUGAUUGCAAUUCGACUUCAGUUAGUGGUUAGUUGGUUGAUUUUCUUGUUCACUAUCUUUCGUCUCUACUUGGCUUAUUCAAUUGAUGUUGACUUAUCUUUGUCUAACUUCUUGGGUGAGCUUAUCUCUGUUUGUGAAAUAUCUACCAUUCAUAAGCUUUCUUUACUGGAUAAGAAUAUGGUUUCUUUUUUAUUUAUGGAUGACCAGCAUCCUUUUAUUCCAAUCUUUAGUAUUGCUCUGAACCUGAUGAAAGAAAGUAUUGAAAUUCUCCUUAACUACCCGUUUAAGUCUAAAAAUAGUGUCAUUGUGGUGCUGCUCUAGAUCACUGUCAGGAAGCUUAUCAAUUUUGGAUGCCUCUGGUGCCCCAAAUUUGGUUGAUAUUUUUGCUUUGCUUAAGGAAAACUAUAGAUGUGUUGUUUUUUAUCUAGAUGAAGAUUUAGUGGGCAUUUCUGAAUACUCUAAGAAGAGGACUAUUUUUGGUGCUCCUAGCCCCACAAAGAAAACAAGGCAUAUGAUAGAACUGAUGACUACCAGUGAGGACCAAGAACGGGGAUCAGUUUCAAACACAUCUAGGGAUUGAAGAGUUGAUUUUAUCUUCCAAAAAGCAAAAAGGUAAGAUCUUUGAAGCUUUUUCUUUUGUGUUUUGAAGAAAUUUUGGUUUUUUACUUCUCCAUUUGCGUUUUUUUUUUCAUCUUUGUUUCAUUCAUUCUCUGUUGAAAAUUUGCUAUAUGCCUGUGAGGCUUUCUAUAUGAUAUUCUUUAGGGAUUCAAAUAAUUCAAUUGUUGAAUUUGUUGGAUGUUGGUUGGGUUUGAAGUUGUUAUCACUGACGCUUUGUUUUGGGGCCUCAAAUUUUUUUUCGUCUUGAGCCUCCAAACUCACAGGGCCGGCCCUGAUGAUGAUCUCAGAAUUUUCGGGGGUUUCCGACACCCAAGAGGUCUGAAAUUAUUGUAAGUUCCAAUUUUCAUUAGAUUACAGUGAUCAUGGCUAGAGGACUGUUGAAGAUAUCUAAGAUAUGAUUGUAAGUUCCAAUUUUCACUUUAUCCAACCUAAUUAACUAAAUAAUGCUUGAAAUUUAUCAAUAAACCCUUGAUUUAGGUGGCUUAUUGGAUAUGCUACCAAUUGAUCUUUGAAAAAUGGUCUCCUUGUUAUUCAUAGUUGCUCACUGAGUAAGCAAAAGAAUCCUUUUUUAGAGUUUGAUUCUGAUUUAGUUAUGUAUUUGGGCACUACCUAAGAUUAGUACGGUGCUUCAAGACUUGGUUGCUUUCAAUUUUGUAAAGCAUCAUAUAUGUACUUACUAUUUGAUUUUUCUUAUCAAAAAUUUGGUUUUGUAGGAACAAUUAAGGUCUGAUAGUCAGUGUCAGGCAUAAACUUAAUGCUUUUUGCCUUUAACAUGGUUCCUUUAGGUUUCUGCUGCAUUGUAAGUUAUGCAACAAUGGUAGUUCUGAUUUGGUAGUCAUGUUCUCUGUUUCAAUAUUUCACUCUUGGAUUCUAGGACUUUCUUUUUGUCUGCUUAUAUUAUUGUUCUUCUCUCCUUUAUCGCUGGCAUGUUGGUUAGUACGUUCUGUAUCCUAUCGUAUCUUUUCUUACAUGUUUUUGUGCUUCCAGUUUUUCAUCCUUAGUUUAUUUGGAUGGCUAGGUAUGUUUCAGUGGGAAGGUUUCAAAGUUCUUCCGACUUGAAGUCUUGACUAGUGAGCAUCCGUAAAUUAUGAGUGAUUUCUCUUUGUUAAAAACCCAAAUGCAAUACAUUUUAUAUUCAAAUUAAUACUACUUGUAUUAUAUUCCGUUAGUGUGAGAAUCCAUACAAAAAGCAGUCUUCAUAGCUCUUUGUUUAUUGUACUUCCUGCAGCGAGUGAGAAACCAAUCAAGGAGAAGACAUGCUAUUACUUUAUUUUUGAAGGCCUUGUGGUAACUAUUGUCUUUUUCUUAUCCGGUUACUUUUGCCUGAUCUGUUCAACAAGGCUCUUCACCAUACUGGUUUUGGUUCUAUCAGCUCAUUGUUUUCCAUUGAAGAUAUGUCUCAGCCUCAUUAAUUAAUUCACUCCAUGUAAUUAAUUUUGUUGCUCAUAUCAUCGAGAAGGAAAUUUUGUUUCCAAUGCCAUUGACAUUUGCGGAUGGGGUCAAGGUAAAACCAAAUUAUGGUGUACGAAAUAAGUGAACAUUGUUGGCAUUUUGCUUCUGCUUUUGAAUCAACUGAUAGUGUGACAAUGAGGUUACUUUAUUUAUCACUAUUUCUGGAACCUUCAUAUGUGAAACCCGAUCAGUUUGCUAUUUUAUGUUUUCAGACUGUAGUGUGUAUAUUUGUGAGUUUAACUUAUUGUACAGGUGUUUUAUGAAUUUCUAAACAAGUAGCUGCAAGGUUAGGAAAGCUCCUAGCUGGGCGGAAGUUGAAGUGAUAAGACGAAUUGGAGAAGGAAAUACUGAAUGUUAGGGUUAACAUCAGAAGCUACAUGAGAGCUAAGCUAAGUAUUAUUGUUCUUCUUUCUGUUUUGAUUCCUUCAGAACACACAUGUUCCCUGAGAACUAAAUUAGGUAGCUUUGCUUUCUAUUCCUCUACAGUUUCAAGUAUGAAGAGGCAUCUUGACGAGAAGACGUCGUUCGACAUGUUAAACAAGUCAUUGUCCAUUGUGCAGUUAUGACAACUAUGGAAUACAAGUCUCUCAUAAGUGUUUUUAGAGGUUUUUCAUUUGCUGUGUAAUUGCUGUAAUAUGAUUAUACAAUCCAAAACAUGGGGCAGGCCAGGGGAAAAAUGAAAAAUUAUAAAAUAAAUGCUUGAUUUUGGCGCCAAUUAAACUGGCGCAACA